rnacentral:rRNA from 1 species
UACGUAGGGGGCUAGCGUUAUCCGGAAUUACUGGGCGUAAAGGGUGCGUAGGUGGUUUCUUAAGUCAGAGGUGAAAGGCUACGGCUCAACCGUAGUAAGCCUUUGAAACUGGGAAACUUGAGUGCAGGAGAGGAGAGUGGAAUUCCUAGUGUAGCGGUGAAAUGCGUAGAUAUUAGGAGGAACACCAGUUGCGAAGGCAGCUCUCUGGACUGUAACUGACACUGAGGCUCGAAAGCGUGGGGAGCAAACAGG